rfam:Hordeum vulgare subsp. vulgare, WGS project CAJW01000000 data, contig: morex_contig_47708
UGCAUUGUCUGAUGCAGAAAUCACUGCAAAGAUCCUUGCUGGUCUCGACCUAGAAUACAACCGUGUCUUUUCAGCGCUUGCGGCUCGGGUUGAACCGGUGUCUGUUCAGGAAUUGUAUAGCCAACUUCUAAUCUUCGAAG